AGAAGGGGGAAGCCUAAGGAGUGUUUGUUAAUUAGCAUACCUAUCAUAAAAAUAACAUUUUUUCAUUCCGCAUAUCCUUGUUAGAAGUGUUUUCCAUUGGGCUCUUGUGUCUCACCAAGGCAGACUCAGUACUCUUUGCUCAUUUAGGACUAAAGAAGAACUUUUUUGGUUUUAACCACUUAGAAACUGGAAAUCAAAAUAAAAUAAGGCCCUGUCCUUAAGAAGCUUACCUUUUAAAUAUAUCAUUAAUAAAAGUAAAUAAAACAAUUACAACAUAAGGUUGUACCACUAUGAUAGGGCUGAUAAGUGUUUCUAAGCACAUAUGUGGGAUUCCUAACCUUCGUUGGGGUCAGGGUAAAUUCAGGACAUUUUCUUGACAGACCAAUAAAUAUCUGAGCUGGUGUUUUUAAGAGUCUUUAACCAGGCAAAGGUUGAGAACAGCUCCUACUGCUUGGAGGCCUUGAGGCAAAAGAAGACUUUUAGGUAGCCAGUUUGUAAAUAAGUUGGACUCAAGACUUGAUUCAUCUCAUGAAGUUUAUUUUGAACUAUACUAAAUAGUUUGAUUUUAUUUUAAAUGGUUAUUUUAUAUGGAUGGGCUUGUAGAUUUUAAGCAGUUCUAAGAUCAUGUAUAUUUUGUCUUCUCAAAGCUUUCUGUGGUAGCUUUGAGAAGUGAUUAGAGGAUAAUUAAGAUUAAUGUCUAGAAAGAGGAAGAAAAUUUGAUGGCUUGGUAUGUCCAAGCUGAAAUGACCAGUGGACUGUUGAGUGCUCUGGUCUGAAGCUCAGAAAAGAUGUCAGUCUAAUGUCAUAAGAAACAAUGUCAGAGUUUGCCUUGGGCUCAGUGGGUUAUGGACCCAACGUUAUCUCUGUGAGGAUGCCGGUUUGCCACUGAGCAAGGCCAGGGAUCGAACCUGCAACCUCAUGGAUCCUAGUCAGAUUCGUUAACCUCUGCGCCACGACGGGAACUCCAAGAUUAAAAUUAAAUUGAAAGUGGUUUUAAAUUUUCUAAGCAAUACUUUUAAGUUAAAUCCUUGGAAUAGUAAUGGAUAUAUCAUAUUAAUUUAUGCAUAAAAAUAUUAAUAAAUGAAAUUUUUGUUUUAUGAUCUGACCCACUCUGAGGAUUUCUAUAAUAGCACUGGGAAUAAAAAAAAUAUGUGAGUAUAGAUAUAUGAUGUAUAUAUAUAUGUGAGUGAUUCAUUGAAUCAUGGAGAAGAAAAACCUAUGGUCUGUUUUGGGCUGUAGCAAAUCUAAAAACUGGGUUCAAGAAAAUACAAGAAAGGGAUUUGGGAAGCAGAAUCUAUUUUAUCUUUUUCAUAUGACCUGUGGCUCUUUCCUGCUAUACCCAAACAGCUGUUGAAAAUUCUAUAUUUCUGAUUUUCACAUGGAAACAUACCUGGGAUCCUUAUUUUGAGAAAUUCUGGAGUAAAUAGAACCAAAUACUUAAAACAUUUUAUUUUAAAGGAAAAGAGAAAUAACCCACAAUUGGUAUGGUUUUAUAAGACCCAAGUCAAUUCUUUAGAAGUUAAGGGGUGGUAGCACUUUUAUUAAACAGAAUCUAAGUUCUUAUAAUAUAAAUAUUUAUUUUCAGGACAUUUCAUUAAUACAGUCAAUAAAAAACCCAUAGUCAAUGAAAUUGUUAAGACAUAUUAUUAAUAUUACUAUGGAUAGGCAUAAUGGCAAAUUUUCUGUGACUCUAUGCACAUUCAGUUACCUAUUGCUAUAUAACAAAGUGUCCCUCAAUGUAGCAACUUAGGACAAUGCAUACUUAUUUUCUCACAGAGUUUCUGAAGGUUAAGGAUCUGGAUGCAGGUUUGCUGGCUGGCUUUGGUUCAGGGUCCCUCACAAGGUUGCAGAGGCUACAGUCAUCUCAAGGCUCAAAUGGUGCUUCCAAGCUUAUUCACAUGGUUGAGGGCAGGUUUCAGUUGGUCAUGAGCCCAAGUUCCUCAGUGGCUUUCAGCUAGAAGCUUCAAUUCCUAGUCUUUAAGACUUGGCCCAGGGCUGCUUACAAUAUAGAGCCACCCAGUGCAAGGGUGAGAGAGUGAGAGAAUGUGAAUGUUGAAGAUGGAAGCCUUUGCCUUUUAUAACUUAAUCUAGGGAGUGACAUACCAUCAUUUCUUCUACAUGCUUUUGGUCACACUGAACAACUCUAGCACAAUUUGGAAAAAGGCUACAUACAGGAAUGAAUACCAGAAGGUAGGAAGCACUGGGAGCCAUUUUGGAGCCUGCCUAGCAUAUUCCAUUUAUUGUUACUUUUACUUCUUAGAAACACAAAAUCACCUUCUGACCUAAUUCACAGAGGAAGUUUUAUAGUUUGAUAAUAUAAUACAUUAUAUCUUAAAGUCUAUACUGCCAAUAGUUUUACAUUUUAACAGGAUAUUCCAUUUUUAUGUUACACCAUAUUUCAAUAUGUAUAUAUGGAAAGAGAUAGAGAAUAGCUUUAAACCAGAAAAAAAAAAUCUAGAAGUUUUUAUGGUCGAACUUAUGCUUGAACUUCCAUGGCACUUUUGAAAAAUAAGAUGACAGCUAUAAUUUUACUUCCAUAUUUUUCCACUAGAUAAAAACAUGUUAAUCAUCACAUGAUACUUACUCAGAAUGAAUUUACUUCAUGAUUAUCUAACUUCAUUCAAGUUUUGUAUCAUCCCAGUCAACUCCAUAUAUACUCUCAAGCAUGCAUAUUUAGACAAUUUGGUAUUUCAGUUGUUUCUAAAACAAUAUCUUACACUGAAUCCUCUUCCGUAUAGAUGAACCCCAUUUUAGGAAGGACUAGGUAUAAUAUGCACAAAAUAGUAUGCAAAGAAGUUAAGGGAUACAAAGAUGAUUAUUAUAAUAACCGCUCACAAGAAAUCUUGAAUCAUCUUUGGGAAAAUAAAUUCACAGGCGAUUCCAUCAUUUGAUUGAGGUAAGGUAAGCAUCAGAAGUGAAGUACAAAGAAAGUGCUUUGUGGGUUUGAGGAAGAGGGUUAUCAAAUGGCCUUUGGUAAAGAGAGAAAUAAAACUUCGGUGGAUUUUUUGAGUUAGGUCUUAAAUGAUGGUAAAGGUUUCCAAAGGUGGACUAGAACGGAGUUUCCUGGGUGGAGAGUGUGGAACUAGCUGGAGUGGGGAGCAUAUUUGGGGAAUGCACAAUUGUUUUACUUGGCUGAAAUUUAACAAGUAGGUGUUAUGUGAUUAUAAAGGCAUUUCUAAAGAGUAUUGAGAAUGAUUCUAAACACUAGUUUGAAGUGUUAAUUCUUAAUUUAGGAGGAAAUGGAGAUUCAUUUUGAGCAAGAGAGAGACAGGAGCUAUGUACUUGGAUUAAUCUAAGAGAAUAUAUAUGAAUGAAUUAUCAUAGGAAAGGAUGUAUUAAAAUUCAUUAGGCAAAGAGAGAAGUCCAUAAGGAUAUAAAGUAACUGUAAAGCAGAUUGCUUCCUACACUAUAGUGUAGUUCAAUAGUCUCUUUCAAUGAGGGCCUCUGCUGGAGUGUUGUUCAGUGAGAAUGGGAAGAAGGACGCUGAAUGAGAAACAUGUGGAGGCAAUUAUUAUGUGAAUAAAUGUUUUUUAAAAAUAAGCC
rnacentral:lncRNA from 1 species